rnacentral:misc_RNA from 1 species
UUAUGUCCAUCAAGGAGAUGAGAUCGACGGUGCUAGAUGCAGCUGGGAUGUUUUCUGAGAGGCGAUUGUUCUUCGGAGGACCGUUGGAGGAAGGGUUGUUUUUAGUGAGCCCUAAAAGGGGCUAUGAUAAUGAUAUGGUGGCCAAGAGCGGGGUUUUUGAACAAGUAAUGAAAGGAUUAUACCAUGGGACUAAAGAGAGUGUUGGUUGUGCAAC